UCACUCUUGUUUCUCUUCAGAUCGUACAAAUCUUUCGCCUUUUACUAAAGAUUUCCGUGGGGAGGAACAACAAGAGUUUAUCUCAAUUUAUUUUUUGAUGCUCUGCGAAAGCAGAGCU